UACGGGGGGGGCAAGCGUUGUUCGGAAUUACUGGGCGUAAAGGGCUCGUAGGCGGCCAACUAAGUCAGACGUGAAAUCCCUCGGCUUAACCGGGGAACUGCAUCUGAUACUGGAUGGCUUGAGUUCGGGAGAGGGAUGCGGAAUUCCAGGUGUAGCGGUGAAAUUCGUAGAUAUUAGGAAGAACACCGGUGGCGAAGGCGGCCAUCUGGCUCGGUACUGACGCUCAGGCGCGAAAGCGUGGGGAGCAAACAGG
rnacentral:rRNA from 1 species